rnacentral:rRNA from 1 species
AGAGCUAUAAUCAAAUAAAUUAUAUACAUUAUUUUACUAUUAAAUCCACCUUAAAAUUACUAUUUCAAAUAACUUAACGUAUAAAUAAAUUUAUUGUAACCCAUCUCUACUAAAAUAUAAACUGCACCUUGACCUGACAUCAUCUAUAAUAAUAGAUUAAGAAAAUUAUUACUCUUUUAAGAUAUUCUGAUAACGGCGAUAUACAAGUUGAAAACAAAUAUUAGUGAGGUCCAACGUGGAUUAUCGAUUAAAGGACAGGUUCCUCUAAAUAGACUAAAACACCGCCAAAUUAUUUAAGUUUAAAGUCCAUACCUAUUACUACUCAAGCACUUAAAUUUACAUUUUAAAUAAUAGGGUAUCUAAUCCUAGUUUAUUAUUAAAAUUUUAUAGCCUCAUUAAAUUUACUUAUAAUAAUAAUAAAAUUUAAAAUUUCACUUAAAAAAUUUAAUAUAUAAUUAAUCAACUUAUUAAAAUUAACUAUUACUGAUCAAUUUUAUUUGCAUUAUUUG